rnacentral:tRNA from 1 species
UCGGAUAUGGUGUAAUGGUUAACAUUACCGCCUCUCAUCGAUCCGUUCGCGGUAGCUCGGGGUUCGAUUCCCCGUAUCCGAA